AGCGAACGCUGGCGGCAGGCCUAACACAUGCAAGUCGAACGAACUCUUCGGAGUUAGUGGCGGACGGGUGAGUAACACGUGGGAACGUGCCUUUUGGUUCGGAAUAACUCAGGGAAACUUGUGCUAAUACCGAAUGUGCCCUUCGGGGGAAAGAUUUAUCGCCAUUAGAGCGGCCCGCGUCUGAUUAGCUAGUUGGUGAGGUAACGGCUCACCAAGGCGACGAUCAGUAGCUGGUCUGAGAGGAUGAUCAGCCACACUGGGACUGAGACACGGCCCAGACUCCUACGGGAGGCAGCAGUGGGGAAUCUUGCGCAAUGGGCGAAAGCCUGACGCAGCCAUGCCGCGUGAAUGAUGAAGGUCUUAGGAUUGUAAAAUUCUUUCAACGGGGACGAUAAUGACGGUACCCGGAGAAGAAGCCCCGGCUAACUUCGUG
rnacentral:rRNA from 1 species